rnacentral:rRNA from 1 species
CCUACGGGAGGCAGCAGUGGGGAAUAUUGGACAAUGGGCGAAAGCCUGAUCCAGCAAUGCCGCGUGAGUGAAGAAGGCCUUCGGGUUGUAAAGCUCUUUUACCCGGGAAGAUAAUGACCGUACCGGGAGAAUAAGCCCCGGCUAACUCCGUGCCAGCAGCCGCGGUAAUACGGAGGGGGCUAGCGUUGUUCGGAAUCACUGGGCGUAAAGCGUGCGUAGGCGGCCAUUCAAGUCAGAGGUGAAAGCCCAGGGCUCAACCCUGGAACUGCCUUUGAAACUAGGUGGCUGGAACACGGGAGAGGUGAGUGGAAUUCCGAGUGUAGAGGUGAAAUUCGUAGAUAUUCGGAAGAACACCAGUGGCGAAGGCGGCUCACUGGACCGUUGUUGACGCUGAGGCACGAAAGCGUGGGGAGCAAACAGGAUUAGAUACCCUGGUAGUCCACGCCGUAAACGAUGAUAACUAGCUGUUGGGGCUCUUUGAGCUCCAGUGGCGCAGCUACGACAUUAAGUUAUUCCGUCCGUCGGGUAGGUACGGCCGCCGAACGGUUAAAACGUAACGAAAGGAAGUUAGUACGGCGUGAGACGUGCCGAACGGACGACCGACGAGGGAGUAGG